rnacentral:snRNA from 1 species
GUUGUGGUAGGAGUGGCAGUAUCAUAGUCAAUGAGGUGAAUCCGAGGCGUGAUUAUUGCUAGUUGAAAACUUUUCUGCCCUGCCUGCUAAGAGCUGAAAUUACUUCCGAUGGGGCAGUGUUUCUGCCCAGCUUGCAAAAGA